rnacentral:rRNA from 1 species
UACGUAGGGGGCAAGCGUUGUCCGGAAUCAUUGGGCGUAAAGAGCGUGUAGGCGGCUUGGUAAGUCCGCUGUGAAAGUCCAGGGCUCAACCCUGGAAUGCCGGUGGAAACUGUCAAGCUUGAGUCCGGAAGAGGCGAGUGGAAUUCCGAGUGUAGAGGUGAAAUUCGUAGAUAUCGGGAGGAACACCAGUGGCGAAAGCGGCUUCCUGGUCCAACACCGACGUUCAGGCACGAAAGCGUGGGGAGCAAACAGG